AACGCAUCUUGCGCUCCGGGGUAUUCCCCGGAGCAUGCCUGUUUGAGUGUUGUGACCUUCUCAUGCCGUCUUUCUUUCUUUGCUUGCUUGCACGCACGGACGGACGGACGGCAUGGAGUAUGAGCGCUGCGCAAGUGCCGCCGCUGUUCUAGGCGGGGGCAUGCGCUUGCUCGAAAUGGAGUAGCCCGCGACCUCGUGCAAUGUCCGAACGGCAGAUGGGCCCCGACUUGAUAGUUAUCUUAGUCGGGCUUGCCCUCUGUGCGGGACAGCUUGAGAGUCUGGCUUCCAACACCCUGGUUGCUGCGUGCGUGCGUGCGUGGCUCACUGUGUUGCACAGCGGCUGCCCCACGACGACGACCUACUACUAUCACUAUUCUACCUCAAAUCAGGUAGGGUUACCCGCUGAACUUAA
rnacentral:misc_RNA from 1 species